rnacentral:rRNA from 1 species
GUGCUAAGGUAGCAAAAUAAUUUGUUCUUUAAUUAAGGAAUAGAAUGAAAGAAAUAUCAAUAAGAAUACUGUCUCCCUAAAAAAAUAAAAAUUUACCUAGAGGUGAAAAGGCCCCUAUUAAAAUAAAAGACAAAAAGACCCUAAAAGCUUUUAAUUAUUAAUACUUACUAUAAUUAAUAUUAUUUAGCUGGGAUGGCGGGGGGCAUAACACCCCUUAUAUAAAAGAGUAUUCAAUAUAAUAACCAUUCAUAAUAAAAAAAGUAAGCUACUUUAGGGGUAACAGGCUUAUUUUUUUCUAGA